UGUAGGCCGUGCGGUACGGUAAAUCCGUCGCACACAAGGCUGAGACCUGAUGCCGAGCCGAUUGUGGUGAAGUGGAUGAUCCUAUGCUGUCGAGAAAAGCCUCUAGCGAGUUUCAUGGCGGCCCGUACCCUAAACCGACUCAGGUGGUCAGGUAGAGAAUACCGAGGCGUUCGGGUGAACUAUGGUUAAGGAACUCGGCAAAAUGCCCCCGUAACUUCGGGAGAAGGGGGGCCACAUCUGGUGAUGAGCUUUGCGCUCUGAGCUGGGGGUGGCCGCAGAGACCAGCGA
rnacentral:ncRNA from 1 species